rnacentral:lncRNA from 1 species
UUAAGGGCUUGUAAGUAAGCAUUUCACUGUAAGGUCUACAAAUAACAUUUGAUUUGAUUUGAUCUUUGUCCUGAUAGGGAGGGAAUUUGUUUAAGCUGGCCCGUGGCACUGGGUGGAUGAAGUUUGCACCAGGUUCAAAAUGAUUCCAUUCUUUUGGUAACCUGGUUGCCUCCCUGGCAUGAGCCGGCUGCCCUGUUCAAAGCCGAUGGUGAUGUCGGCUCAAAACAAAGAGAGGUAUUGUCAAGACUUCCGACAGAUGAAGUGACAGGGCACUGAGUCAUCAUCAUAAAGUAGACCCAGAGAUUCUACAGUUUGACCCUGACCUGAAGCAACUGUGCAGUAAAGCAGCCAGUGUCAGGAACCUUGACUCCCAGGUCAAAGUAAUAUACAACGGAUGACGGAUCAGUUAAGAAACUGAUGCUCUGCAAGGGCCUCUCCAUUACUGGACCUGACACAUCCACGCAACUGAACCCUUCCAAGCCCAGCCACUAAUCCACACAUACACACAGGUAUUGAUAGGUGUUGUGCUGUUAAUAAUCUCAGGGUCUGUGUGUGAAUGUGUGUGUUUCUGCCUGCCUACGUGGUGCGCUGCGCCAGUGUCUAUGUCACUUGAUUUUGAGGCGCGGAGAAGACAGAGUGGGAAUACGAGUGUUGGGGCGAGGAGAAGUCUGAGUGGGGAUAUGAAUGUGGGGGUCAGCAAAUCCCACCCUGUUGUAAAUCAAGGGAGAAGAUUCAAGUGUGUGCUCUCAUGAUUCACCAAAGGAAUGUGCUUGUUUCAACAGACUUUUUCCUGCUGAAAUUCUAACAUGUCCAAAAGCGAAUACUGGAACAAUACUUCUAACAUAGAACGUGGGGAAUGGUCAGAGGCAAUCUAUAGAGCACUAAUGUCAUUUUGUUUGUUAUUUUGUGAUGACGUUAAAAUGUUAUAAAGGAAAUACUGUAACUUGGAAAGUAUACCCACUACAUAUAUGAAGUUUACAUACUCCGUGUUGUGCAUAUAAAAUUAACAAUUAUGAAAGUGUUUUUGUUAAGAGAGGGAUGUGAUUUGAUAAGCUAUAAGAGAUAAUUGUUUUACCUAACUUUGCACAUUGUUUUACCUAACUUUGAGUCGUUACCGCCUGGAGUGAGGUCAGGGAGCGUGUCAGCCUGCCGGAACCACCCCUUUUGAGUAAAAUGUAUAAAUGAUGGGUUAAGAAAAAAACACAUCAGACCAGAAAGACGUGAAGCUACAGCUGCAGGUUUACAGUGGUUUGAAGUUUUUACUUUUAAUCUCAACACGAGGUGGAGACGAUAAACUCAUCUCCAGGAUGAUCACUAGUAUGGCUGAUUAGCUGUCCUAAGUAAAGUAUCUUCUAAAGCGAAUUUAAGUUGCACUAUCCUGUUACUCUGCUCAAACUAUCGAUACGGCUGGGUAGCCUAUCUUCAAAGAAGAGUGAAUGGAAGGAAAGUCAACUCUGUAGUUCUGUUCAGGACUACACAUCAAGUCACCGGAUACCGGACAACCACAAAGAAGGACAACAGUAGAAGACUUGUUGGAACCAUUUCGGACAAUCAGAGCCUUACAAGCGUGCCGCGAAAAGGCCAAACCCCCUUUCCAAGGCUGCCCUGUUCACCGAGAGAUCCCCAGCAAACCCAGGCAUUUCACGUAAAUACAUUCAUGAUUUCUUACUCAAAGCAGGCGGCGGUUCGUGUGCAAAGUAUAUGGUUACUGUAGGUGAGAGUAGUUUCUGAAUGUACCAAUGCUAAGUGUCUCUGUCCCUCUCUCUCUCCCUCUCCAUCUCUUUUGUAAUUAGCAGCCAUGUUGUUGUCAUUUCGCUAGGGACCUGUUUUCAGCGUAUUAAGUCUACAGUCAAUAACCGGUGCAAAGUGUGUAUGUUUAUCCUGUGUUCCCAUUUAAUUAGCUAGUAAAUAAAUAAUUAAACCAAUUUGUGUAGUACUGAAUCAUAAGUACGGCUUGGGUUUUUGCAGAUGCAAGGAAGUUACGACUGUUCAGAAUGAUGACAUGAUAUGAG